UACGGAGGGUGCGAGCGUUGUUCGGAAUCACUGGGCGUAAAGGGCGUGUAGGCGGUCCGCUAAGUCUGAUGUGAAAGCCCCGGGCUCAACCUGGGAAUUGCAUUCGAGACUGAAUAGCUAGGGUACGGUAGAGGGAAGCGGAAUUUCCGGUGUAGCGGUGAAAUGCGUAGAUAUCGGAAGGAACAUCAGUGGCGAAAGCGGCUUCCUGGACCAGUACCGACGUUCAGGCACGAAAGCGUGGGGAGCAAACGGG
rnacentral:rRNA from 1 species